rnacentral:rRNA from 1 species
GAGUUUGAUCAUGGCUCAGGAUGAACGCUAGCGGCAGGCUUAAUACAUGCAAAUCGAGGGGCAGCAGCUUUAUAGCAAUAUAGAGGCUGGCGACCGGCAAACGGGUGCGGAACACGUACACAACCUUCCUUGAAUAGGGGGAUAGCCCAUAGAAAUGUGGAUUAAUACCCCGUAAUAUAGCGGUGUGGCAUCACACUGUUAUUAUAGUUUCGGCGAUUCGAGAUGGGUGUGCGGCUGAUUAGGUAGUUGGCGGGGUAAAGGCCCACCAAGCCUUCGAUCAGUAGCUGAUGUGAGAGCAUGAUCAGCCACACGGGCACUGAGACACGGGCCCGACCCCUACGGGAGGCAGCAGUAAGGAAUAUUGGUCAAUGGACGCAAGUCUGAACCAGCCAUGCCGCGUGAAGGAUGAAGGUCCUCUGGAUUGUAAACUUCUUUUAUAGGGGGCGAAAAAAGGUCUUUCUAGAUCACUGACAGUACCC